GCCUCGCGCGAUUGGAGCGGCCGAUGUCGGAUUAGCUAGUUGGUAGGGUAAAGGCCUACCAAGGCGACGAUCCGUAGCGGGUCUGAGAGGAUGAUCCGCCACACUGGGACUGAGACACGGCCCAGACUCCUACGGGAGGCAGCAGUGGGGAAUUUUGGACAAUGGGCGCAAGCCUGAUCCAGCCAUGCCGCGUGAGUGAAGAAGGCCUUCGGGUUGUAAAGCUCUUUCAGGUGGAAAGAAAACGCAUGGGUCAAUACCCUGUGUGGAUGACGGUACCAUCAGAAGAAGCACCGGCUAACUACGUGCCAGCAGCCGCGGUAAUACGUAGGGUGCGAGCGUUAAUCGGAAUUACUGGGCGUAAAGCGUGCGCAGGCGGUGAUGUAAGACAGAUGUGAAAUCCCCGGGCUCAACCUGGGAACUGCGUUUGUGACUGCAUCACUCGAGUACGGCAGAGGGAGGUGGAAUUCCGCGUGUAGCAGUGAAAUGCGUAGAUAUGCGGAGGAACACCGAUGGCGAAGG
rnacentral:rRNA from 1 species